GACGAACGCUGGCGGCGUGCUUAACACAUGCAAGUCGAACGAUGAAGCCUAGCUUGCUAGGUGGAUUAGUGGCGAACGGGUGAGUAAUACGUGAGUAACCUACCUUUAACUCUGGGAUAAGCCCGGGAAACUGGGUCUAAUACCGGAUACGACCAAUCUCCGCAUGGGGUGUUGGUGGAAAGCGUUAUGUAGUGGUUAUAGAUGGGCUCACGGCCUAUCAGCUUGUUGGUGAGGUAACGGCUCACCAAGGCGACGACGGGUAGCCGGCCUGAGAGGGUGACCGGCCACACUGGGACUGAGAAACGGCCCAGACUCCUACGGGAGGCAGCAGUGGGGAAUAUUGCACAAUGGGCGCAAGCCUGAUGCAGCGACGCCGCGUGAGGGAUGACGGCCUUCGGGUUGUAAACCUCUGUUAGCAGGGAAGAAGAGAGAUUGACGGUACCUGCAGAGAAAGCGCCGGCUAACUACGUG
rnacentral:rRNA from 1 species